rnacentral:tRNA from 1 species
AGUAAAAUGCCUGAAUAAAGGGUUAUCUUGAUAGGAUAAAUAAUGUAUUUCUACUUUUACUA